CUCCACACAAGUCAUGAUUUUAUAGACCUCUAUCAUAUCCUCACUUAGUCAUCUCUUUUCCAAGCUGAAUAGUCCCAGUCUUUUUAAUCUCUCCUCAUAUGGAAGAUGUUCCCAACCCUUCAUCAUUUACGUUGCCCAACUCACUUUUUCCAACUCUAAUAUAUCUUUUUUGAGAUGGGAUGACCAGAACUGCACCCAGUAUUCCAGGUGUGGGCAUACCAUGGAUUUAUAUAGAGGCAAUAUGAUAUUUGCUGUCUUAUUAUCUAUCCCUUUCCUAAGGUUCCUAACAUUCUGUUAGCCUUUUAGGCUGCCGCUGCACAUAACAUGAAUGUUUUCAGCUGUGGCACAGCUUGAACAUGUAGGUCACAGUUUUUAGGGAUUAAGAAUAGAGGAGGGUGGGAAACUAUUUUUCUACCUGCCGAAAUGAACCUGAGACUUUUCAAAAGUAAACAUAUGUGUGUGUGUUUGUAUGUGAGAGCAAACAGCCUGGUGGUUAAGGCCUGCACUUGGGAUGUGGAAAACCCCAGUUCAAGAUCCUCUGCACUUUGGUUUCACAAAUCAGUGCCUUAACCACCUGGCUAUUCUGGGUUGAAUCUCUCUCAACAUUCCAUCCUGAACCCAAGAAACUUUUCCCAUCAAAACUGGUACAUUCCCAUGAAACAUUUCAGUUUCAAUUAAUUGGAAUUUUCCAAGAACAACAACAACAAAAAUCAGAAAAUUCCCAACCAGCUGUAGUAAGAAUCAUAUUUUCUGUCAUGGCUAAAGUUACACAAAUCCUAAUUUUGGAUGUUUAUGAAGUAGCAGAAAGAAAAAAUUGAAAAAGGAUGUGCAACUUCCAUUCCUUACCCUCCUAAUCUGAAUAUUCAAAUUCAGGUACUUUUUUUAAACCACAAGGAGACAAAGCUAUUAUUUGAUGCAUAUUCAAAUGAAAAGGCUUUUUAUAGCCCAAGAUAUGCAGUAGGAUGUUUUUGAACCUAUCUGAUAUUGCACAAACUACUGAGUAGAAUAACUUUUCCUUCCCACUUUUGGUAGCUCUUACCGCUAGAAUACCAAUUUCUGAACAACCUUAUUAGACUCAGACAUAUCUUUAUGCUGAUGCUGUUAUGUUUUGUUUGUUAUGUUUUGCUGAUGCUGUUUCAAUAGAUUGAAUCUCUACUUAUACUCAUUUAGAAAAUAAAAAGAUCUCUUCUCCUAUCCACGCUUACCAUCUCUUGAUAGUCUCUUCUAAAAUAACCACUGAGAGAUCAUCCCUUUUAUAAAUUUCAGUCCCCUCUGCCAGAUGAGUCACUCACCAGGGGGAACUGGUUCCUCUGGACAGCAGCCAGAUCAUUGUUCUGUGGUGCUUCCAUUUGAUUGGAAGAGCAACAGGUUGAUUAUUUGGAUUGCUAUUUUUAGCCCUUUGCUAGGUGCAGGAAUUUCUCUGGUGUGUUUUAGCUCAAAAUAGAGGUUAAGGGGCAAAAAUCCAGUUUACAAUCCAAAUGACAAUCACAAAACAAAAUGCAGUUUGUAGUUUGAUAUUGACGUGUGCAGACAUAUACCAAUCAACCACAGUUUAUUUUAAUGUAAUUAAGCUUAAAAUAGAGUGCAUACAGUGUUGUAUUAAACUUUAUCCCAGCAAUAUCUUGAAUAGAUAGAGAAGGAGGAGAGGGGCCUUCCCGAACAGUAUUGCUUCUUACUGUUUCAUGUUGUUUGUGUUUCCCCAUGCUUGGUGUGUUGUUUUCUCACCCUAUUCCUUUGUGCAUUUACAGGAUGCCUUUGUAGCUUUCCAUAUUAAUAAAACACUGAUGAGAAAGUCCAUGAACUUGCUGCUGAUUGGGGAGCUGGCACCUGGUCAACCCAGCUUUGAGUCCUGCAAAAAUGAGGAACUGUGUCUUGUAGAAGCUAUGGAUGUGGGAAACUCAUACCUCUUAAGUUGCCACCCUGACUCAGAAAAAGGUUCUGAAGAGAAGCAGUGGAGGAGCACUGGCUGUAGGGUGCUCAGACCAACUCCAGUCUCUAUCUGUCUCAGAACGCACAUACAAGAGAGUUCCAGGGCUGAUGGUUCUAGCAUGAUUUGGGGCACCUUUCAGUCUUCACCAAGUCCAAAUGGAACCACUUGUGUCAUGAGUUUGUGAUAUGCAAUCUAAAGGGGUUGUCAUCCACAUGGCGGAAUCGCCAACAUAACCAGCAUCACGCCAAAACCAACUGCUUCCCCAAGGACCCUGAUAUUCUACUACAUCACUCCCUUUUUGCCUUGGGAAAGACACUCUCUGUGGAGCUUGGGAUGAUGAAGAAGAAAUUGAUACCAUCAGCACAAAUAUUUCAUCAGAGGGAUGGGGGCCAAGCACAGACAAAGGACUCCUGUCUUGUGCAAAAGCUAUGUAAAGGGGGUGGAGCAGGAAAAAGGGGCUUCCAGUCAUGUGAAAACCCCUAGUUACCACCUGAGACGGCUGCUGGAAUUAACAAGGACUGUACCGGGGAAAGGAUUGGGCCCAGACUAGGAAGGAGUCUAGUCUGUGAAAGAAGCUUCUUGGAACAUCUCUGAGGGGUCCUGGGGAGUAUUGUAUUUUUCUGGGUAUCGCACACAAACCACGUCCCAAUGAACAUCGAUUAUGAUAAGAACACAGUCUGGUUCUCUGCCCAGCUCCAGGCAACAUGCAAUGUGAACCAGUCCUUAUUCAGCGACUGGUUCACUGGACACUUGAACUUCCAGAUUGAGCACCACCUUUUCCCCACGAUGCCUCGACACAACUACUGGCGUCCCUGGUGAAGUCCCUGUGUGCCAAGCAUGGUAUCAAGCACCAAUGCAAGCCCUUGCUCGCUGCCUUAACUGAUGUUGUACAGUGGAUUAGCUCAAAUAGUAGAGCGCUUGCUUUGAAUCAGAGUGGUGACGGCAUUGAUGCCUGCAUUCUCCAGCCUGCUCUGCUGUGGUAGGGGGAGCCAACCCUUUUUUAUUGCUUUGCUCAAGACCCUGGAACCAUCUCUGUCUCAGUGGCACCAGACACUUCAGUUGAAGGAACCACUGAAGCCCCGGACUGCAGAAGCCAGAGGCGCCGAGACCCACACGGACACCCAGAUACCUGUGGAUACCCCAGGGAGGUCCGGGCUACAGGGAGUUGCACCGGCCGAAGAACCCAGAGACAGUGAAGAUGCACAGAUCACAGACGGGAGUGACAAGGAAAGGAAGGAGGGACAGAAAAGCAGGAAAAUGAGUGAAGGCAGUGAAGCCACUGUGAAGCUGGAGCUGUUUAGACUGCAGGUUGCAGAAUACGAAAGGGAUCCCCAGAGAAUAUUGGAGCUAAAGGAUCUCAAGAUAAAAGAUAAAGAGAGAACCCGAACCAGAAACAAACACAUCUAAGGGCCCCAGAACUAAGAGCUAGAGAAUCUGAGGAAAAAGAAAGAGAUAGAAAACACCAACUGGACCUCCUAGAGAAGCAGAACCAGAACCCACCAACCCCAACGAUCCCACCACUCCAAAAAUCCACAAUUGGGACCAUUUAUGUCCUUCAUAUAAUGAAGCAGAUGAUAUUUCUGAAUAUUUGACUACCUUUGAAAGGCUGUGUGCAGUGCAUGAAAUCCCUUACGCCAAGAGAGUUCCUACCUUGAUUGUGAAAUUAACUGAUAAAGCUCUAAAUGUAUUGAAUGAAGUGCCCAUUGAGGAUGUUUUAGACUGUUAUAAAUUCAAAAAUACUGUUUUGCAAAGGUUUUAGAUUACCCCUGAAACAUAUAGAGUUAAAUUUAGGAAUCUUAAGAGGGAUAUUGUCAAGUAUCAGGGAUAUUGGCAUGAAUAAUGAGGGAAUACUGGCAUGAAAGAGGGAUAUUGGCAUGAAUAAUGGGGAAUAUGUGAACAAAAUGAAAGAAUUGAUGGGAAAAUGGGUGAGGGGCAAAGGUGUUACAAGCUGUGGGGAAUGUUUGGUCUUGUUGCUCAAGAGCAUUUCCCAGGCAUAUAAGGCAGAUGUAAAGCAGUGUCUAUGGGACAAAAAUGUAAAGUCUGUGGAUGAGAUGGCAUCUCUAGCUGAUACCUUUGAACAGACACAGGCAUCUAUUGAAAGCAAAUCACCAAAAGAGGGGGUUACACCUGGUGGGAAGGGAGGGUCCCGUUUUAUCCCUAGCAAGAAGGAGGGGGUUUGGGAGGCCAGACAUUCCCCUCCCCAAAAAAUCCCCUUACUGGUAAUUCCUAUCCCAAACCUUCUAUCAAGACAGAGGAGCCCAGAAAGUGCUACCUCUGUAAUUCCACUGAGUAGCUGUAGAUGCCCAAGCUGAGGGAAAGUAAGCUCCCACUAGCCCAUGUUAGUGCAGCUGUCCUCAGCACAGAGGCCCUGGAGGGAAACCAGACAGGAACACCCACAUCUUACCUAGCAAGUUUUGUGGGGACCCAAUACAAUAUUCCUUUUUGCUACGGGCCACCACACUAACAGUCCUAGCCUUGUGGUAGAAGUCAUUCCCCAGUAGCAUGUCCAUUACUCCUACAAUCAGAUCACUUUCCAGACCUUCCUAUGCCACGUGGAUUUUAACUAGUGGCACGGGGAAUCUGGUUUCACCCAUCCUCCACAAUCUCUACCCUUUGGCCAGGUAAUAUACUGGUAUAUAUUAUGCCAAUAUAUUGGGUUCCUGGAGGAAGGGGUUGAGGCCCCAGAAACUGCUGAGGGGAAUGGAGAAAGUCUCUCUGCUUCUCCUGCAGCAGAAGGUAGCAGCCUGCUUUCAGGUGGGAUGAAGCUCUGAAGACAGCAGCGCAGGAGUAAGGGAGGCCUGGUAUGGUAUUGCUACCCUUACUUCUGCACUGCUUCUGGUGGGGAGCUGCCUUCAGAGCUGGGCGCCCCGCUAACUGCCGCCACUCUCUGGUCACCCAACUCUGAAGGCAGCACAGAAGUAUGGGUGGCAAUAUCGUGACCCCCCUAAAAUAACCUUGUGACCCCUCUGCAACUCCCUUUUGGGUCAGGACCCCCAAUUUGAGAAACGCUGGUCUCCCUCAUUAAAUCUGUAUAGUAUAGGGUAAAAGCACACAAAAGACUAGAUUUCACAGGGGGAGACUAGAUUUCAUGGUCCAUGAUGUGGUUAUUCGGGGGUGAGGGUGUGGUGGAGUGGGGCGAGGGAGAGAAAAUUCGCAGUUAUCUAAUUUUUUUCUCUUAACUCCAAGGGUCCAUUAUUGUCUGUUCCUGGGCUGAACAAUGGAUGGUACCUGAAGUUUGUUUUGUGUAAAUAACUGGCUUGGGAGGUGCCCUCCCUGCCCGCUUGCUUCACUACUGAUACUACAGUUUCCCUACAGUUACAGUUUUCUCUCUGUGUGUGUGUACACACAUAUGUUUCACACACACCUCAUAACCAUAACCUGUAGACCUCUUAUAAUGGACAUCACAUUUAUGGAAGCUUGUAACAUUCAAAGACCUUACUUGACAUUUGUAUAUACAAUGAAAUUAUAUAGAACCAGUUGAUUUCAAUUGCUUAUUCUUUGGGGUUCAGGCCCCCUGUUCUCCCCUUGGGGUGUCUGGACCCUAAUUGUCACAAGCCCCCUGACACAAACCCAGAUAGGUGGCAUUGUGGGGGGUGGGGGUGGGGAGGAAAGUUGCAUUGACUGGGGGCAACAUGGAGACUGCAGGAGGCUGAAUGUAAAGACGAGAAACUGUCUGAAAGAAGCUGCCAGAUAUAGGACAUCCAUAUGGAACUCCUUCUAUGCACACAGCAGUAGUUCCCAGCUGAGGCAGGAGCUGGACAAGGCAAUAACCAUCCAUAUCCCAGGAUGCCAUUCUCACUCUGACCUAGUCUUAUUGAGUGAGUGUUUCCCAGUGGGAGGGAUAGGAUCCUUCUGGGGAAAUCAAAUUAUUUGGACUUCUGAGGAAAGAUGGGAUUUCUGUGGGGCACCUGUAGAUACAGGUCUUGG